rnacentral:rRNA from 1 species
GCCGUAGGGAAACCGAGUCUUAACCGGGCGUUAAGUUGCAGGGUAUAGACCCGAAACCCGGUGAUCUAGCCAUGGGCAGGUUGAAGGUUGGGUAACACUAACUGGAGGACCGAACCGACUAAUGUUGAAAAAUUAGCGGAUGACCUGUGGCUGGGGGUGAAAGGCCAAUCAAACCGGGAGAUAGCUGGUUCUCCCCGAAAGCUAUUUAGGUAGCGCCUCGUGAAUUCAUCUCCGGGGGUAGAGCACUGUUUCGGCUAGGGGGCCAUCCCGGCUUACCAACCCGAUGCAAACUGCGAAUACCGGAGAAUGUUAUCACGGGAGACACACGGCGGGUGCUAACGUCCGUCGUGAAGAGGGAAACAACCCAGACCGCCAGCUAAGGUCCCAAAGUCAUGGUUAAGUGGGAAACGAUGUGGGAAGGCCCAGACAGCCAGGAUGUUGGCUUAGAAGCAGCCAUCAUUUAAAGAAAGCGUAAUAGCUCACUGGUCGAGUCGGCCUGCGCGGAAGAUGUAACGGGGCUAAACCAU